rnacentral:tRNA from 1 species
GGCCCGUUAGCUCAGUUGGUUAGAGCGUCGUGCUAAAAAACGCGAAGGUCGCGGGUUCGAUCCCCUCACGGGCCA